rnacentral:rRNA from 1 species
UUAUACAGCGAAACUGCGAAUGGCUCAUUAUAUAAGUUAUCGUUUAUUUGAUAGCACCUUACUACUUGGAUAACCGUGGUAAUUCUAGAGCUAAUACAUGCUAAAAAUCCCGACUUCGGAAGGGAUGUAUUUAUUAGAUUAAAAACCAAUGCCUUCGGGCUUUCUGGUGAUUCAUGAUAACUUCUCGAAUCGCAUGGCCUUGCGCCGGCGAUGGUUCAUUCAAAUUUCUUCCCUAUCAACUUUCGAUGCGAAGGUCUUGUCUUCGCAUGGUUACAACGGGUAACGGAGGGUUAGGGCUCGACCCCGGAGAGGGAGCCUGAGAAAUGGCUACCACUUUUAAGGAAGGCAGCAGGCGCGCAAAUUACCCAAUCCCGACACGGGGAGGUAGUGACAAUAAAUACUGAUACAGGGCUCUUAUGGGUCUUGUAAUCGGAAUGAGUACAAUUUAAAUCCCUUAACGAGGAACAAUUGGAGGGCAAGUCUGGUGCCAGCAGCCGCGGUAAUUCCAGCUCCAAUAGCGUAUAUUAAAGUUGUUGUGGUUAAAAAGCUCGUAGUUGAACCUUGGGCCUGGCUGGCCGGUCCCCCUCACCGGGUGCACUGGUCCGGCCGGGUCUUUCCCUCUAUGGAACCUCAUGCUCUUUAUUGAGUGUGAUGGGGAAAUAGGACUUUUACUUUGAAAAAAUUAGAGUGCUCCAGGCAGGCCUAUGCUCGAAUAGUACAGCAUGGAAUAAUAGAAUAGGACGUGUGGUUCUAUUUUGUUGGUUUCUAGGACCGCCGUAAUGAUUAAUAGGGACAGUCGGGGGCAUCAGUAUUCAGCUGUCAGAGGUGAAA